AGGGUUUGGAACGUGAAAGAAAAGAAGACAAAAAAGAGAGAGGCAGUAGAGGGUUUACAAACCGAGAAAAGAAGAGAGAGAAGAAGGGAAGUAGGCUGGACCAGAAGAAGACGACGACUACGACGACGUGGGAGGCGACCGGACUUGCAGAACGAAAUCAGAGAAGCUUGCGGUGUUCUUAAAAGUUCCAAUACCAAGGUUAAGGAUCCGUAGCUCGGAGACUUCAUCUAUCAUCUACUCUUCUUGCUUAUUCAAAGUAGGAUACUUAUUUAAUGUUAGACUUUAGUUUAUUUAUUUAUGGAUUUAUAGGUUAUGGUUUAGGGGUUCUUAGUUUACGGGAUUCCGGAGUUGUAAAAGUUUUGAGGAUUUAUUAUGAUGGAUUUUAACUUAAAGAUUUA